GACGAACGCUGGCGGCGUGCUUAACACAUGCAAGUCGAGCGGUAAGGCCCUUUCGGGGGUACACGAGCGGCGAACGGGUGAGUAACACGUGGGUGACCUGCCCUCAGCUCUGGGAUAAGCCUGGGAAACCGGGUCUAAUACUGGAUAUGACUCCAUGACGCAUGUUGUGGGGUGGAAAGCCUUGUGCGGCUGAGGAUGGGCCCGCGGCCUAUCAGCUUGUUGGUGGGGUGANGGCCUACCAAGGCGACGACGGGUAGCCGGCCUGAGAGGGGCGACCGGCCACACUGGGACUGAGACACGGCCCAGACUCCUACGGGAGGCAGCAGUGGGGAAUCUUGCGCAAUGGGCGAAAGCCUGACGCAGCGACGCCGCGUGAGGGAUGACGGCCU
rnacentral:rRNA from 1 species